rnacentral:rRNA from 1 species
AUGCCGCGUGUGUGAAGAAGGCCUUCGGGUUGUAAAGCACUUUUAUCAGGAGCGAAAUCUGCAGGGCUAAUACCCAUGCAGUCUGACGGUACCUGAGGAAUAAGCACCGGCUAACUCCGUGCCAGCAGCCGCGGUAAUACGGAGGGUGCAAGCGUUAAUCGGAAUUACUGGGCGUAAAGCGUGCGUAGGCGGUUCGUUAAGUCUGUUGUGAAAGCCCCGGGCUCAACCUGGGAAUGGCAAUGGAUACUGGCGAGCUAGAGUGUGUCAUAGGAUGGUGGAAUUCCCGGUGUAGCGGUGAAAUGCGUAUAGAUCGGGAGGAACAUCAGUGGCGAAGGCGGCCAUCUGGGACAACACUGACGCUGAGGCACGAAAGCGUGGGGAGCAAACAGGAUUACAUACCCUGGUAGUCCACGCCCUAAACUAUGCUAACUGGAUGUUGGUCUCAACUCGGAGAUCAAUGUCCAAGCUCAGGCGUUAAGUUCGCCGCCGGGGGAGUACGGUCGCAAGACUGAAACUCAGAGGAAUUGACGGGGGCCCGCACAAGCGGUGGAGUAUGUGGUUUAAUUCUAUGCGACGCUGACAACCUUACCUGGCCUUGACAUGUCUGGAAUCCCUGU